rfam:Ictidomys tridecemlineatus contig103866, whole genome shotgun sequence.
GGGGUUGUAGCUCACCUGUAGAGCGUUCACCUUGCACGUGCAAGACUCUGGGUUUGAUCCUCAGCACCACUU